rnacentral:rRNA from 1 species
UACAGAGGUCUCAAGCGUUGUUCGGAUUCAUUGGGCGUAAAGGGUGCGUAGGCGGCGCGCUAAGUCAGGUGUGAAAUUUCGGAGCUUAACUCCGAAACUGCAUUUGAUACUGGCGUGCUUGAGGACUGGAGAGGAGACUGGAAUACUUGGUGUAGCAGUGAAAUGCGUAGAUAUCAAGUGGAACACCAGUGGCGAAGGCGAGUCCCUGGAAAACGCCUGACACUGAGGCACGAAAGCUAGGGGAGCAAACAGG